rnacentral:rRNA from 1 species
UAAAACCAGCUCCUCGAGUAGUCGGGAAAAUUACUGGGCCUAAAGCGUCCGUAGCCGGCCCUGCAAGUUCCUGGUCAAAACCAGCAGCCUAACUGUUGGCUCGCUAGGGAUACUGCGGGGCUUGGGAACGAGAGAGGCCGAGGGUACUUACGGGGUAGGGGUGAAAUCCUGUAAUCCCGUAGGGACCACCGGUGGCGAAGGCGCUCGGCUGGAACGUGUCCGACGGUGAGGGACGAAAGCCAGGGGAGCGAACCGGAUUAGAUACCCGGAUAGUCCUGGCUGUAAACGAUGCGGGCUAGGUGUUCGAGUGGUUACGAGCUGCUCGAGUGCCGUAGAGAAGUCGUUAAGCCCGCCGCCUGGGGAGUACGGCCGCAAGGCUG